rnacentral:rRNA from 1 species
CGGCGGACGGGUGAGUAACACGUGGAUAACCUACCUAUAAGACUUGGAUAACUUCGGGAAACCGGAGCUAAUACCGGAUAAUAUAUUGAACCGCAUGGUUCAAUAGUGAAAGACGGUUUUGCUGUCACUUAUAGAUGGAUCCGCGCCGCAUUAGCUAGUUGGUAAGGUAACGGCUUACCAAGGCAACGAUACGUAGCCGACCUGAGAGGGUGAUCGGCCACACUGGAACUGAGACACGGUCCAG